rnacentral:rRNA from 1 species
CCAGCUCCCAAGAUUAGCGGCGGACGGGUGAGUAACACGUGGGCAACCUGCCUGUAAGACUGGGAUAACUUCGGGAAACCGGAGCUAAUACCGGAUAAUCCCUUUCCUCACAUGAGGAAAGGCUGAAAGACGGUUUCGGCUGUCACUUACAGAUGGGCCCGCGGCGCAUUAGCUAGUUGGUGAGGUAACGGCUCACCAAGGCCACGAUGCGUAGCCGACCUGAGAGGGUGAUCGGCCACACUGGGACUGAGACACGGCCCAGACUCCUACGGGAGGCAGCAGUAGGGAAUCUUCCGCAAUGGACGAAAGUCUGACGGAGCAACGCCGCGUGAGUGAUGAAGGUUUUCGGAUCGUAAAACUCUGUUGUUAGGGAAGAACAAGUAUCGGAGUAACUGCCGGUACCUUGACGGUACCUAACCAGAAAGCCACGGCUAACUACGUGCCAGCAGCCGCGGUAAUACGUAGUGGCAAGCGUUGUCCGGAAUUAUUGGGCGUAAAGCGCGCGCAGGUGGUUCCUUAAGUCUGAUGUGAAAGCCCACGGCUCACCGUGGAGGGUCAUUGGAAACUGGGGAACUUUGAGUGCAAAAAAGGAAAGUGGAAUUCCAAGUGUAACGGUGAAAUGCGUAAAGAUUUGGAGGAACACCAGUGGCGAAGGCGACUUUCUGGGCUGUAACUGAAACUGAGGGGCGAAAGCGUGGGGAGCGAACAGGAUUAAA